rnacentral:rRNA from 1 species
CGGAGGGGGCAAGCGUUGUUCGGAAUUAUUGGGCGUAAAGGGCAUGUAGGCGGUUUGGUAAGUUAAAGGUGAAAUACCAGGGCUUAACCCUGGGGCUGCUUUUAAUACUGCAGGACUAGAGUCCGGAAGAGGAUAGCGGAAUUCCUAGUGUAGAGGUGAAAUUCGUAGAUAUUA